UGUAGCUGCAGGGAGAAGGAAGGAGCAAGGAAAGGCAGGGGUGUUCCACAAAUGUCUACCUACCUGUGGCCAGCCUGAGUUGCUGGGAAUUGCCAGGUUUUAUGUUAUCUGUGGGAGUGCUAACCCUGGAAGCUGGGUCUCCUGGGAAAACCAUCACAGCUGCUGCUGGCAGUCAGGGUGGUCCUCUGCUGUGAUAUAAUUCUGAAAGGGAUUUCAGGAAAUCCAGGCAGGUGACAAGCUUGACGUCAGCGCCACCCAUUCAGAGCGUUGAAAUCUUCCCUCCACUACCCGGCUCAAAGAUGGAAGGACCCUCUCUAGGGGGGAGAGAACAGCUCAGUCUCCAGACCUAUUCAGUCCUGGAUCUUGCUACCAAGUAAGGCCACUCUACGUGGAGGUACACCUGCUAGCAACGAGACGGAAACAAGCAACUUCUACCUCGAAGAACUUUCCGUCACUACCUUCCUAAGCUGGCUUUGAACCAGUGACUUAGAAGUGAAAAGCCAUCACCAGAUCCCUGGGCGAUCUGAUCCCCUCGACUGUCUUCACUGUUCAGUCUCCAUGUCAUCUUAAAGCUAAUUUCUUUCCUG